UAAACUUUUGUUAAAGACAAGUAUACAUAAACUACCAAGGCACUGAAAAUAUGAAAUCAAAACAAUAUAUUGAAUCAAAACAAUACAUGUCUAUAGCGAAGGAAUCUCAAAAUCUGCUCACUAGCUAUGGCUCGUGUAGAACAAACCUUCACAAACUGACCUUGUUGGUUGAUUGCUUUUGCUUGGCAAAUCAUAGAGUUGAUGCAACACAUCAGGUGGGAUGCACGUUCCUUCAUGGGCAUAUUAUCGAACACGUCCUAGGCAUGAGAAUUAUACCAUAAUUCCCCAACAACUCCCCUCUUCAGCUGGGCCUGCAAAUUCCAUAUAAUCAUUCCAUUGUCUAUUUUUCGUUCGUUCUGAACCUAAAUCAAGCUUGCCAAUUCAUCUGAUCAUAUUCAUAUAGAUAUUUGUCUGUCUUCCUAAAAUUCAACAUUUGUCCACCAAGUAUUAGACCCAUAAAAAUUCAGAGAGGAAAUGACAAGGAAGAGGGUGAGCUCAAUAGACAGUCUCUACCUCAGACCCUGUGUUUUUUUCCAGCUGCCGCUAAUUGCUAAACACGGUUAAGAAACUUGCACACCAAUCUGGACAGCUCAUCAAUGCCACGUCACUACCCCUUAAACUGAUUUUUAACAGAUUUUUCAAUAAAUAGAAUGCAAAUGAAAUAACAUUUGAAUGCAUGGUUAGUGACAAAUUCAGAUAAUAGUAGGUAUGUAUUUGAGUUCAUCUUUGAGGUUGUGGUUCCUCAUCACCACAGCAGCCAUUCCACUGGCUUCUGUACCAAAAACAUAUUUAAUUUAUUUAUAUUAAUAAUAUAUUUAUAUUGAUUUUUAAAGUUGAUUAUUGAGGGAUUAGAAACACUUAAUACAUCCCAUCAUCAUCAUCAACAACAACAACAACAACAACAACAACAACAAAGAAAGAAAGAAAAGACUCAAGAGUAUUUGCAAAAGAUAAUUAUAAAGAGCGACUAUGGUCAACGGUGGAGAAUGGAAUCAAAGACAUUGUCAAAGGUAGCAAAAGCUUCGAUAAUCUAAACACAGAGACUUUUCUUCAAGUAUAGUUAAAUAAUAAAAUAAUAAUUUAGAUUACUUAAUGAAACAAUAAGUAUUUAUGAUAAAUAAGAUACAUGGAAUAAACUAACCUCUCCGCUUAUCAUUUUCUCUAUUGUGUUUUUUUUUUCCUCUGUCUCUCCUUCUUGUUGUUUAGUAGAUGACACAACAUUUCAUUUUGUUUAUUCAAUUUGCUAUUGGAGCAUCUUUCAGGAAAGUACAGAAAUGUAAAUAUACAGCUAAUAUUAUAUUUAUGAAUUAUUUAUAUGUACAGUACAUACUAAGUAACUAAAAUAAGACAAAUGAAAUAAUAAAAAUAAAAAUAUAAAUUAGAUAAGAUCAAAAAUAUCAUAUGAUCAAUCUCUUUCAUCACCAACAUCUAAAACAUUAUUGCUGUAACGUUAUACAUUAUGUACGAAACAGGAAUGUAAGCACAGUAGUAAUAUAAUGUUAUACAUAUCAAAAUUAUGUCUACAAAUAAAAAGUAAAUUGAAAAAAGAUUAGUGAAAUAAUAAAAAAUAUAAAUAUAAAUGAUAGAUCAAAUAUAUCAUAUGAUCCUAAUUUAAUAAAUCAAUAAUGCCUUAGUAGACAAUAUAGUUUAUGGUAGAGAAUAUUACUUAUCCUCUUAACAUUGUUUGCUCAAUAAUCUUUACUUUUGAUCCAAGCAUCUUUGAUCCAAAAAUUGGUAGAGAAUAUUACUUAUUAACGUUAUAAAUCCAUCCGCAAUUAAUAAAGGAUCACAGCAUAUUCAAAAAGCAAUUAAUUUCUAUUUAGAUUUUUAGUACUCAUGCGAAAUAGAGAAACAAGAUAUGUGCGUAUGAAAUUAUUAUGGAUUACAAGCUACUCGAUCAAAACUCGGAAUCAAAUAAUUGAAUGGGUGUCGAGCACGCUUGUGGAAAGAGUCACGGCACGAGCUCCCCUUCAUCAUCUCUAAAAAACCACACUUCAAAUAAAAAUAUUUUUUUUUCCUGCAAAUUACUUGCAUUCAUAACCAACUAUUUUUUUUAAUAGUUAUCAUUCAUGACUUCCUCUCUAUCCAAAAUAAAUUUGCUUAAAUUUAAAAUAUUAAAUUAUUCUUUUUCUAAUUUUUAUUGAUUGAACCUUAUUUUUAAAUUAAGAUUACUUUCAAAUUAUAAUUUGGAAUAUGUGUAAUGAAGUCCUAAUUAUAAUUUAAUAAGUCAUAAUUAUAAUUUAAAGUAUUUGUAAUUUAAGUCAAUGAUUUAUAUUAAAAAAUUCAUCACUGAUAAUUUGUAUAUAGGAUAGAUUGCAAAUUAACAAGAAUGUUAAAGAAAAGAAAAAUUAGAAGAGUGUAUUAAGAAAAAGGAUGUUUUUGGAAUUAAAAGUAAGAAUAACUAAAAAGAGAGAGAGAGAGAAGGUUUCAUGACAAUAUUAGAGGGGUGGCACUAGUCCAGCUCCAUACAUAGAAAUUACAAAGAAUCAACAAGAUAAUAACAAAAACACAUCCCAUACUCACAAUAUCCAAUUAGAGGGGCACCAAAUUUUUUUUGGCGAAAAUCCUCCAAUGCUCAAGUCAGUAAUUGGGUCUCUUUUAGAAAAACUUGUAUCACAAACUCAUGGCUUAAUUAUAUCAAUUGAAAGUUAGAAAUCUUAAUUCUCAAAAGAAGAAAAAUAAAUGGAGAGAAUUAUCGAGAGAGAAAAAGUCAAAGAGAGAGAAAAUAUGGAAAUAAAAAAAAAAUUGUCCAGCCCUUUUUACCUCCCAUUCUCCGUAGCUUUUAUACCCAACCUGAACCAUCGACUCCAUCUUCCCCACGAUUACUGUUGGCUUGGAAGUGAAAAGCGUGCUGUGUCUUUGAAAUCAUGGGUCAAUGGACAAUGUAACUGCCGCUGAAUGGGCUUUGUGCCCGAGUUUCUUGGAGACAAACUACGUGUUGGCCUUUGAUCAAGCCUUCGAUCUGACUCGAUUUUGGUCUCUCCUCGCAUGCCCUCAGGUCUGCUAUAUAGUACUCGUACGACCAGUAUUCAGAUUUUUUUGAUACAAGCAGUGGUCAAUAGAGUCAACUAAGAUAAAACUUAAAUUUCCCGCCCAAACAAAAACUAACAUACAUAAAGAAUUCGAAUCAUCCUUCAAUAAUAACAUAAAUAGCAACUACUGAGGCUAGUAAUUUGAUCAUUUCUGUAUUUGUCAAUGCAUUAUGGAUUCUAAGACCAGGCUCUAAAAUCAGCAAAUCCAAAAAUUGUUGAUAAUAUUACUUAGUAAGGUUACGAAUCCAUCCACAAGACAGCUGUAAAUAGUCAUAUAUCCUGACAUAUGAACUUUUUAUAUGAUUAAUAAAGGAUAAUAGCAUAUUCAAAAAUCAAUUUCUACUUAAAUUCAUAGUAGUCAUGCAAAAUAGAGAUAGUGAAUGUGUAUAUCACGGUGCAGAAGUAAACAAAGUAUGCAAGCAUGAUAAAACAAAGUUCAUGAUAUGUGCCUAUGAGAUUAUUAUAGAACGAACCUGCUAUAAAAAAAUGAUGCAGUGACUAAGCUGGAAGAAAAGGCCACCUAAGAUGUGAAUUUGCUGUUAUUUGAUUCAACUCUUCGGCAUGGCUCUUGAAGUUUGAAUCAGCCUGUGGCAGGCGAGUGAGCAAGCUGAUAUUGCUGUUGUAGAUAGCUGAAUCUUAUCAACAUUCUUCUUCCAUCUGAAUCUUGAGUGAGCAAGCCUAUGCCCUUAUCAACAUUCUUCUUCCAUGAAUCUGAAUCUUUCGGUCGAAGAUAUUGAUAGGAAUGCACAUAGGAGUAAUACGGUACUGCAUGUUCUAAAGGCAAAUAUUAAUUUUGUAAAGUACCUUAGCGAUUCUGCUUUUGCUAACUUUUUUACUGUCUCCACUGCACUCUGUUCCACAUAGUCGAAAUCAUUCUGCAUUUUGGCCCGAUUCUAACAAGACAAUCUAACUUCCAAGCUUUCAACUUUUCCCAAGGUCUCUGGCACAUUUUUAAGUUUGGAGCAACCACAGAGAUACAACGUUCUAAGAGAUCUCAAACCAUUUAUGGUACUUGGACGACUCUUGAGAUUUUUGCAAUCUUUCAAAUUCAACAAGACAUUGCCAGAAAGAAGUUCAAUAGAUGCUGGCAAUCCUCUUAUAGCAGUUCCUUCCAAAUGAAGCUCCAAGAGCUGAUCCCUGCUUGAAGUUUUCUCUGGGAACUCUCUGAAUUUCAAAGGGCUGGAGAGAUUCAAAGUUGAUAGAUAUUUUACAGCACUUAUUGUCCUUGGAAGACACUCAAGAUUUUUGCAGCCAUUCAGAGUCAACUGCGCAAGUCCAAAUAGAAGUUCAAUUGAUAAUGGCAGUUCUUUAAUAUCAGUUCCAUCCGAAAGAACUUCCCACAAUGUCUAGAAAUUCCUUCAAUUUCCAGCAACCAGAAAGAACACGUGUCUUAAGAGAUUUCAUAAAGAUCUUGCCUGGAAGAGUUGAAAGACUUGUACAACCUUUCAAAUUCAACAGAAUCAGCUUCUUUGAAGCAGAAAAAAUGAGUGAAUCUCCUGCAACCUUGUAAAUCUUUCAGAAAUCAGCUCCCCUAAAUUUGGUACUCUAGUGAAGUCUGAUUGGUCAUAUUAGAAAAGGCUUUAGCACUGACAUGCAUCUCUUUGAUGUUAAAGCGAUCAAAUAUGAUGCUUCAACUACAUCAGUUUCCUAAACACUAUAACAAAAAAUAAGUGGGAACAAAAAAAAAAUGAAACAAAGAAAAUAUUGAUAAAACUAUGCAAAGGUUUAACUAGUUAAAUAAGUGAUCAUGAUCCCAAAAUUGCAAGUUUUCAACCUAACUGAACAUUUACUUGUGCUUUGUGAUAAUACAUGGCAUAUAUCUGCUUUCUCCCACAAUCUAUUGCAGUUUCUAGGCUCCUGAUGGGAUUGCCUCCUAACAAUUUGUCUACCCCAUUUCUUGUAACUACUCAUGCAUCCACAGUCCGCUGAAAUCAUCUACAGUUAAUAGAGAUUUUUCAAUAGGACCAACAAUUUCAAUAAUUGGGUCAAAAUCACAAUAUUUGAGAAUUUUUGUCACAUAAUCUCUGUACUUCCCUUCAUAGAAACAUGCAAGAUCGAGAAAUAUUUUCUUCUCUGUUUCUUUUGACCCAUCAAAACUUAUUUGAAGUACAUCAAGAAUCUCAUUCUCAGGAUCUCCCUAUAGUCAUUGUAGUAUAAUUCUGAAAAUAUUUUCUUCUCUGCUUUGGAAAUUAAUGAUCUUCUUCUUCAUAUUUAUUCUGAAAAUUCAAAAACAUAAAUGAAAAUAAAGAGAACUGCAUGGCAUAAAACUUACAACUUUGAUUAUGUCGCAAGCAGCAUAGUAAUCAAAAUUUUUUAAAUAUCAACUACAUGUCAACGAUGCGGAAUUCCAAGGCAUCUUCUAUUAAACAAAAACAAAUAAUAAGAACCAACAGUUGUCAAUUCUUAUCAACAAAGUCUUCAAAUUGACAUUGUGAUCUGUUGUUUAACGAAAAAAAGGAAAAUCAAUUCCUAUGAACUAAGUCCUCGGACCAAAAUUAAACAUGGAGGUGGAGAAAAGAAAAAUCAAAAUCAAAUGUUGAAUCCUCUUGAUUGUUUCAUGGAUAAAUCUGAUCUAGAUCUGAGUCCAUAUUUAACAUAUUCAUCUACCCAUUUUCAGACAUACCAUGAAUUGUAAAUUAAGCCAAAGAUUCGCAAAAAGCAACAAAGAAACAAAAAACAGAUUCUAUGUUCAGCCACAAAUGGGCUAUUUCACAGCCAAGCACAAUGGUUAAGGAAGAUUGCUAGUAAACAAAUGAAGAAAAUUAAUUGCUUUUCACAGGUUCAAGAAUUAACACUAUUAUUGAUUGCUUCUCUAGUGGAAGAAAUAAUUUUGAAUAAAGCACAGCAUCAUUCCAACAAAUGUGACGAUAUUUUUUUCAUUCAUUCCAUGGCCGGACUCUGUUUUAUGUCUAAAACUCAAGAAAUUCUACAAUUCCUUCUUUCUACCACAUCAUUCACGAAACAACAAAUAAUCAAAUUCUGUCAUGUAUAUUUCUAUUUAGAAAUUUGCAAAAAGGUUAGCCGCUAGAAAAAGAAAAUAAUUGAUUAGAUAAACAUUGGGUUUGCACUGUGUUUGUGGUAAAAUUCUGUUAAAGACUAAAGACUCUCAGAAUCUGCUCACUAGCUAUGACUCAUGCAAGACAAACCUUCACGAAUUGACCUUGUUGAUUGAUUGCUUUUGCUUGGGAAACCAUAGAGUUGAUGCAACACAUCAGGUGGGAUGCACAUUCCUUCGUAGGCAUAUUAUCGAACACGUCCUAGGCACGAGAAUUAUACCAUAAUUCCUCAACAACUCCUCUCUUGAACCUGGCCUGCAAAUUCCAUAUAAUCAUUCCUUUGUCUAUUUAUCGUUUGUUCUGAGCCCAAAUCAAGCUGAGAUCGAUCAUAUUCAUAUUCAACAUAUGUGCACUAAGCAUAGUAACCUCAAUUCCGAGGUUCAAGUAUUUAAACCCAUAAAAAUUCACAGAGGAAAUGACAAGGAAGAGCGUGAGCUCAAUAAACACUCUAACUCUUCGCUCUACCACGGUUAACAAACUUGGACACGUCACUAACCCUUAACUGAUUUAUAACAGAUUUUUGAAUAAAUAGAAUGUAAAUGAAUUAUCAUGUGCAAAAUAACAUUUGAAUUUGAGAUGCGCGCGGUGAUAAAGUCAGAUAAUAGUAAAAAUAAAAUAGUCAAGAAUAAUAAAUUUAUAUUUUUUAUAUUAAUAAUA
rnacentral:lncRNA from 1 species